rnacentral:misc_RNA from 1 species
CGCACAUUGCGCCCCUUGGUAUUCCGGGGGGCAUGCCUGUUCGAGCGUCACUUCAACCCUCAAGCACUGCUUGGUGUUGGGCCCUGCCGGGGACGGCAGGCCUUAAAACCAGUGGCGGUGCCGCUGGGCCCUGAGCGUAGUAAUACUCCUCGCUACUGGGCCCCAGCUGGUGCCUGCCAUUAAGCCCCAACUUUCUAUGGUUGACCUCGGAUCAGGUAGGGAUACCCGCUGAACUUAA